UCUACCAGCUGAGCUAUCCCGACC
rnacentral:tRNA from 1 species